rnacentral:tRNA from 1 species
CUGGGUAUAGUUCAGUAGGUAGAAUGCUUGCUUUGGGAGCAAGAGGUCGCAGGUUCGAAUCCUGUUACCCAGA